rnacentral:rRNA from 1 species
GAUGAACGCUGGCGGCGUGCCUAAUACAUGCCAGUCGAGCGAACGGACGAGAAGCUUGCUUUUCUGAUGUUAGCGGCGGAUGGGUGAGUAACACGUGGAUAACCUACCUAUAAGACUGGGAUAACUUCGGGAAACCGGAGCUAAUACCGGAUAAUAUUUUGAACCGCAUGGUUCAAAAGUGAAAGACGGUCUUGCUGUCACUUAUAGAUGGAUCCGCGCUGCAUUAGCUAGUUGGUAAGGUAACGGCUUACCAAGGCAACGAUGCAUAGCCGACCUGAGAGGGUGAUCGGCCACACUGGAACUGAGACACGGUCCAGACUCCUACGGGAGGCAGCAGUAGGGAAUCUUCCGCAAUGGGCGAAAGCCUGACGGAGCAACGCCACGUGAGUGAUGAAGGUCUUCGGAUCGUAAAACUCUGUUAUUAGGGAAGAACAUAUGUGUAAGUAACUGUGCACAUCUUGACGGUACCUAAUCAGAAAGCCACGGCUAACUACGUG